CCCCGGGACUUAAAAUGGCAGGAGAAGAUUCCUAUAUUAUGGGAGUGUCUGAUCCUCAGAUGUUUGCAAUGGAUCAGUUCAUGGGAAUGAAUGCAUUAUUUAAUAAUACAAAUUACAUCACUUCAGACUUACCACUACGAACAGCAGAUGGACCAUAUCUUCAAAUCAUAGAACAGCCAAAACAGAGGGGGUUUCGUUUCCGAUACGUAUGCGAAGGGCCUUCACAUGGUGGACUUCCUGGUGCUUCUAGUGAAAAGAACAAAAAAUCAUACCCUCAGGUCAAAAUCUGCAAUUAUGUUGGACCUGCAAAAGUAAUCGUCCAGUUAGUUACUAAUGGGAAAUAUGUCCACUUACAUGCUCACAGCUUGGUGGGUAAAUUUUGUGAAGAUGGAGUAUGCACAGUUAAUGCAGGACCUAAAGAUAUGGUUGUAGGGUUUGCAAAUCUUGGAAUACUUCAUGUCACAAAGAAGAAAGUGUUUGAAACUCUGGAAACACGCAUGAUAGAUGCUUGUAAAAAAGGAUACAACCCAGGACUCCUGGUGCAUCCUGAACUUGGCUAUCUGCAGGCAGAAGGAUGUGGAGACAGACAGCUAACUGAACGAGAAAGAGAAAUUAUUCGUCAGGCAGCAGUACAGCAGACUAAAGAAAUGGAUCUCAGUGUGGUGCGUCUUAUGUUUACAGCCUUUCUUCCUGAUAGUAAUGGUAGUUUCACACGGAAGCUUGAUCCUGUUAUAUCAGAUGCAAUAUAUGACAGCAAAGCUCCCAAUGCCUCCAACUUAAAAAUCGUAAGAAUGGACAGAACGGCAGGGUGUGUAACAGGAGGGGAAGAGAUUUACCUUCUCUGUGACAAGGUUCAGAAAGAUGAUAUUCAAAUACGUUUUUAUGAAGAGGAUGAGAAUGGUGGUAUGUGGGAAGGCUUUGGAGACUUUUCUCCUACAGAUGUACAUAGACAGUUCGCUAUUGUGUUCAAAACACCCAAGUAUAGAGAUGUCAAUAUUACAAAGCCAGCAUCUGUAUUUGUACAACUGCGUCGGAAAUCUGAUCUAGAAACGAGCGAACCAAAGCCUUUUCUCUACUAUCCGGAAAUCAAAGAUAAAGAAGAAGUGCAAAGGAAACGGCAGAAGCUCAUGCCAAACUUCUCUGAUGGCUAUGGUGGAGGCAGUGGCGCAGGAGGCGGUGGCAUGUAUGGAGGGGGAGGUGGCGGUGCUGGCUCUGGGUUCAGUUACCCUUCAUAUGGAUACUCUGCUUUUGGAGGGAUGCAUUUCCACCCUGGCACAACAAAGUCCAAUGCUGGAAUGAAGCAUGGACUGUCAAAUAGCACAGCUGAACAAGAUGAGAAGAGCUCUGAUAAGCAAAGCGACAAAUGGGACGUGAAACAUGAUGUGAAAGUGGAAACUGUGGAGAGGACUGAGUGCAGAACCUCUGCUGAUAAUGAGGAGGAGGAUGCUGCUUCUUCCUGUAAAACUCAAGUAGAUGAAGUAGAUUGCAGGUGGCAGGGUGGUCUGUUCCUGGAGAAGGCCAUGCAGCUUGCCAAGCGUCACUGCAAUGCUCUCUUUGAUUAUGCUGUAACUGGAGAUGUGAAGAUGCUGUUGGCUGUUCAGCGCCAUCUCACUGUUGUCCAGGAUGAUAAUGGAGACAAUGUCCUUCAUUUAGCAAUUAUCCACCUUCACACUGAGCUGGUGAAAAACCUCUUGGAAGUGAUGCCUGAUCUGAAUUAUAAUGACAUCAUUAACAUGAGAAACGACCUUUAUCAGACCCCUUUGCACCUGGCAGUAAUCACAAAGCAGGCAGAGGUGGUGGAAGACUUGCUGAAGGCUGGAGCAGAUGUUAGCCUUCUGGAUCGCCAUGGUAAUUCUGUCUUGCAUUUAGCUGCUACUGAAGGAGAUGAAAAGAUUUUGCGUUUGCUCCUCAAGCAUAAGAGGAUAUCUCCAAUGGUCGACCUUUCCAAUGGUGAAGGUCUCAGUGCAAUUCACAUGGUGGUGAUAGCAAAUAGCAUGGCCUGCCUCAAACAGCUGAUUGCUGCUGGAGUUAACGUCAAUGCUCAGGAACAGAAAUCUGGACGAACUGCAUUGCAUUUAGCUGUUGAACAAGAGAACAUCCCUUUGGUGGGCUGCCUUUUGCUUGAGGGUGAUGCAGAUGUGGACAGCACUACAUAUGAUGGGACAACUCCUCUUCACAUAGCAGCUGGAAGGGGCUCUACAAAAUUGGCAGCAGUUCUCAAAGCAGCAGGUGCAAAUCCUCAUGUUGAGAACUUUGAGCCAUUGUUUGAUCUAGAUGAUGUGAAAGAUGAUGAAGAUGACGAUGAAGGGAUUGUGCCUGGAACGACACCACUGGAUAUGGCAGCUAGCUGUGAGGUGUAUGACAUAUUAAACGGCAAACCCUACGAGUCAGCAGUGGUUUCGGAGGACUUACUGACACAAGGACAUUUGAGAGAGCUGAAUGAAAGUUCCAAGAUGCAGCUUUACAAACUAUUGGAAUUGCCCGAUCCAAAGAAAAACUGGUCCACUCUAGCACAAAAACUGGGUCUUGGCAUACUUAAUAAUGCCUUCAGGCUGAGCCCUUCCCCAUCGAAAACUCUGCUAGAUAACUAUGAGGUUUCUGGUGGUACAGUUCAAGAGUUGAUUGCUGCUUUGAGACAGAUGGAUCACACAGAAGCCAUUGAAAUCAUACAGAAAGCACUAGCCAUCUCACAAAGCCCACCUCACUUGGAGGACAAUACCGCAAAAGCUUUUCCAUUGUCAUCACCACCCACCUUUGCAAAUGGAGAGACAGGUGACCUUUAUAACAGCAAAUUUCAGGACAACGAAAGCAUGUGUGACAGUGGUGUGGAGACCUCCCUCCGCAAACUGAGCUUUACUUAUUCAGACUCUCUGAACAGCAAGUCAUCAGCAACACUUAGCAAAAUGACCCUGGGCUAUGGACAUGAAAGUUCAGUGCAAAGCAAUUAUAUAGCCAACUAGUAAUAUUCAAUAAGCAAUAUGCAGUUACAGGAACGAACGUGACAUUUAAAAUUACAUCUGUGUGAUCCUGGCCAGAGGGAAGUGAAUUUACAACCAAAAGUGCGCUGGAGGAACCACAUAUGAACCUGAACCAAUGGCAACUUCAGCACAUGACUCCUAGCCAUUGCUUCCUUCCUCAAAUACAUUUAAAUUUUAUUCAUUUACAAGCUAUAUACAAUAACCAGGGCUCUACUGCUGCAUUAGUACACAGGACUGGACACUGUGAAUGACUGACUGAGCUUCUCUGGUUUGCGAGGAUGUCCUUUUAUAUAUGAAAGUUGCUCUUUGUUAAUGUAUAAUACCAACUCACUUAAUAAAAAGAGGUCUCUUCUCAUAAUUAUGGCAGCAGAGAAUAAUUUACCAACUGAAACCAACUAUUUAGCAUCUCAGCAAAGCUCUGAUGAGACAGUUCUUUGGGCUGUCUAGAAACUCCUCUAAUAACUGUGUUCCUGAGCAGUAUUUCUUCCUGUUGCAUGUUAAAUUGAGAGGGAAACCACCUGAGGGCUGGCUCACACCAUUGCUCCUUUACAGUUGUUGGGUAAGUGAGCUGAAGCCUGCAGUGCUGAAUGCUUAAAUCCUGGUAUAUCACAUGCUAGUUGGUAUGACAGAAUCACAGGGCCAGCAUGCCAGAGUAUUACUAUCUAGCUAGCUUACUUACUACAGGCAAAGGAGGACUGCUACAACAAGACAAGAGAGAUAAGCUACAAUGCUGGCAAAAGCCUGGUGAUCACGAUGUUUGCAAAGAGGUAUAAGAGGACAGCAUUUAAGGUUUUGAUUUUUCACCACCAUGGCAAAGGACCAAAACUUUCAGCUCCUGCAUCUGACAAUGGCACCCUUCCCCAUGAGGCCACCUGCUCAACAGACAGCACUCAUUCUCAUUUAGAGCUCCUGUUCUGGAUUACCCAACUCCUCACUGGGCCAUAGAGCCUGGCUCAAUCC